UCUGCUCUAAGAAGAACUGCAGGUAUGGCUGCUUUGUCAAAUAUGCAUCAGUAGGAGGCAGAGAGGAGAGAGGCUGUGUCUAUGUGCUGUGCUGUGACAUGUGAACAUCUAAAUGAUUAGCUGCCUGACCCU